GAAGAUUAAUUGAAUUAAUAACUAUGUCGGGACAAAUGUAUCAGCUCCUGGCACUUGGUAAUAUAAGCCAUGACUCUUCACUGUUGUUAUCAUUUGAUAUUUGAGCUUAAUGCCAAAAGUUUCUCCGGAGGAAGGUGCAGCUCUCUCGAAGGCGCUGAGCUCCAGCAGGGAAUGUACAUCCCAACUCAUAAUUUCCUUCAAUGUUAAAACAUGAGCCAGUUGCCUGUGACUUUAUUCCUUUCGUGCAUUCGUGAGUUUACUAUCAAGGAAAUACAGAAAAACUGAGAAAGCAGUACUGGAAUCCCACAAGCCCCACACCACUUUCUGAUGCCGUGAACGUUUUUCCUGGUGUGGUGCAUCUGCCUCAGUCAUAGAAGCAGUGUUGGUAAUCAGCAUCGUGGAGGCGGCGUCGGUGGUCAGCGUCGUGGAGGCCAGGUCAGUGGUCAGCGUCGUGGAGGUGGCGUCGGUGGUCAGCGUCGUGGAGGCCAGGUCAGUGGUCAGCGUCGUGGAGGUGGCGUCGGUGGUCAGCGUCGUGGAGGCCAGGUCAGUGGUCAGCGUCGUGGAGGUGGCGUCGGUGGUCAGCGUCGUGGAGGUGGCGUCGGUGGUCAGCAUCGUGG
rnacentral:lncRNA from 10 species